rfam:Homo sapiens chromosome 14, GRCh38 reference primary assembly.
GCCAGGCGUGGUGGUGCAUGCCUGUAAUCCCAGCUACCUGGGAGGCUGAGACACAAGAAUCACUUGAACCUAGGAGGUGGAGGUUGCAGUGAGCCAAGAUUGUGCCACUGCACUCCAGCCUGGGUGACAGAGUGAGACUUGGUCUCAA